GAUAGCGAAGAGGUCACACCCGUUCCCAUACCGAACACGGAAGUUAAGCUCUUCAGCGCCGAUGGUAGUUGGGGGUUUCCCCCUGUGAGAGUAGGACGCCGCCAAGC
rnacentral:rRNA from 3 species